rnacentral:rRNA from 1 species
UAAUACGUAGGGAGCAAGCGUUGUCCGGAUUUAUUGGGCGUAAAGAGCUCGUAGGCGGCUUAGUAAGUCAGAUGUGAAAACUCCAGGCUCAACCUGGAGACGCCAUUUGAUACUGCUAUGGCUUGAGUUCGGUAGGGGAUCACGGAAUUCCUGGUGUAGCGGUGAAAUGCGCAGAUAUCAGGAGGAACACCGAUGGCGAAGGCAGUGAUCUGGGCCGAUACUGACGCUGAGGAGCGAAAGCGUGGGUAGCGAACAGG